rnacentral:rRNA from 1 species
UGGGGAAUCUUGGACAAUGGGGGCAACCCUGAUCCAGCCAUGCCGCGUGAGUGAUGAAGGCCUUAGGGUCGUAAAGCUCUUUCGCCUGUGAAGAUAAUGACGGUAGCAGGUAAAGAAACCCCGGCUAACUCCGUGCCAGCAGCCGCGGUAAUACGGAGGGGGUUAGCGUUGUUCGGAAUUACUGGGCGUAAAGCGCACGUAGGCGGACCAGAAAGUUGGGGGUGAAAUCCCGGGGGCUCAACCCCGGAACUGCCUCCAAAACUAUUGGUCUAGAGUUCGAGAGAGGUGAGUGGAAUUCCAAGUGUAGAGGUGAAAUUCGUAGAUAUUUGGAGGAACACCAGUGGCGAAGGCGGCUCACUGGCUCGAUACUGACGCUGAGGUGCGAAAAGUGUGGGGAGCAAACAGGAUUAGAUACCCUGGUAGUCCACGCCGUAAAACGAUGUCUGCUAGUCGUUGGGGAGCAUAGCUCUUCGGUGACGCAGCUAACGCAUUAAGCAGACCGCCUGGGGAGUACGGCCGCAAGGUUAAAACUCAAAAGG